ACGAACGCUGGCGGCGUGCCUAACACAUGCAAGUCGAACGAAGUUUGCUGAUCCACCAAAUAUUAAAGUGAAUCCACAAGCGCAUUUGCGCAGGAAAGAGCUAUACCAGAUAUUUAGUGAAUGGCGAAAAGUGAAAAUGAGUAAAGAAGCAAAUGCGCUUCACGCUUAUUAAAGCUUACCAACACAAAAACAAAUUAAAAAGUUUUAGUAUUUGGUGGAGAAGCAAACUUAGUGGCGGACGGGUGAGUAACGCGUGAACAAUCUGCCCUAUACAAAGGAAUAGCCUCGGGAAACUGGGAUUAAAACCGUAUGACACUUUUAAGUCGCAUGACAUAGAAGCCAAAUUGAAUAAGAGGUAUAGGAUGAGUUCGCGUCUGAUUAGCUAGUUGGUGGGGUAAAGGCCUACCAAGGCGACGAUCAGUAGCCGGCCUGAGAGGGUGAACGGCCACACUGGAACUGAGACACGGUCCAGACUCCUACGGGAGGCAGCAGUGGGGAAUAUUGCACAAUGGAGGAAACUCUGAUGCAGCGACGCCGCGUGAGUGAAGAAGGUCUUCGGAUCGUAAAACUCUGUCCUUGGUGAAGAAGAAAAUGACGGUAGCCAAGGAGGAAGCCCCGGCUAACUACGUGCCAGCAGCCGCGGUA
rnacentral:rRNA from 1 species